CAACUAUAAAACAAUUGAGUAUUUUAAAACGCAAAAAAUGAAAUGCAUUCGUCGUCUGAUGAACUAUAGUCGUAAAACUCAAAAUUUACGUUAUAGUGAAGAUGUAGGCGUGUCUGCGUUAGGAGCUUAUCUUCACUUUCUUAGACUAAAAAAAUAGUUAAUAAUUUUGUCAAAUCUCGUUUAGAGUUGUGCGCUAAGCGGGAAACCGUCACGUUUUUUCAGCCGUCGACGUCGUUGCCUAAGUUCCCUAUAAUCUUCUUAUGGGAACACGAAAAGGGUUGUAGAUUAAUUAGACGAUGCGAAACCUAUAAUGGGAACUUGUUCCGCUUUCCCUUCAAGCAUUGAUAAGUGUGAAAGAUUAUUCCUAGCUAUUUCCUAUUACCGCUAUGUAUUUACACUGUGAUAGCUUUCUAUUUAACUGAUACCAGUAAGUGCUAAACUCAUUCUGUAGGGCUAUUACAACUUCAUAGGAUAGCUUUUUAGUAAAUCUUCUUUAUCAGCUUUUCUCAUUAUCUAAAUGCCCCCUAAAUAAACACGCUUGUUCCAGAUAAAACGCCAUUGCGUUUUUGCUAAUCUCUUUGCUUAGGAGGUAGAAUUAAUAUGCUACGUGAGAAAUGCAAGUAAAGAAAGCGAAAAAAUCACGCUUUUUUGCAACGAAGCUGUUGUCUAUAAAAAGGUUAAAAAAAGUAAAAGAAAAAAAAAAAAGAAAUGACAGUCAUGACAAGGGCACCUUCCCGUUCACUGCAAUUCUGGUGCUUCCAUUGGAAGAAUCGGCUCAUUUGUCAAUCAACCGCCGUGGAGUGAGGAUCAAAUUCAACUCUACCUUCUAGUCCGAUAGAAUGUGUAAAAAAGGAAACUCAGUAGCUAUGAAACCAACGUGAGUUAUGCAAAAAAAGAGCAAACGCAUGAUCGGAAAACAGAUUUCAAACCUCGACAAAAGCUAUACCCAAGAAGCAAGUCAUGGUGACAUCUGAAUAAUCAACAGGAUAUAUUCCUCAAGAAAAGCAGAUACAUAGACAUAUACAGUAUUACAUUUUCCAUGUGAUUUUUAAUCAUAAACAUUCCUUUAUAAAGGAAACAUGUUUUGUUGCUAUCAAAUUGAUUCAUGUGUUGGUGAAGUGUAUAAAGCAACCAGUCACAUUUUAUAAACUGCAUUAUAGAUUAUACUUUUGUUGAAUAAACCAAAAUGCUUUCUCUUUUACCCAUUCUGUUCAAGACUUCUCAUUCUUACAGUAAAAGCAAGUGUAGCUACAGGGGGGAUAUCCAUUGAAUGAAAACAGUAAAAGCCAUGUCUCUAUUUUGUGUAAUUAACUUAUAAAGUAUAAAACAUAUGUUUGGUUAAACCCUUUAUAAAAAUAAAGGAUCCAGACCGUUUUUGGACAAAUAGAAACAAAAGCGAAUUCAAUUGUUAUUAUUUCUACAUUAUUUGUAGUUAUCAUAGAUUGCAAAAUAAAAACAAAAUACUAUACAGGUGCAUUCUGAUCCAAAAAGUAGAAAGAUAGACUCAAUUAUGGCUCCAACUCACUUAGAUGGAUAUCAGGCAUUUUUUAGUAGCCCUUCAGUUGUUUGGUGUACAUAUAUGUGUAAGUAUACAAGCUGAGACAUUGUACAAAGAGUUUUCUGCUGUUCCCGUGAGCCAGUUAUGCACUAUAAAAACAAAUAUUGAAACAAAUUUUUUCUUUUAUUGUAUACCACUCCCUUGUUUUGUACAGACAAAUAGUAAUGUUGCAUUUUAUUGGGAUCUAAGCCCUACUUUUAACCCUACAUCUAAUAAAUUAGCACGAGGGCACAAUGGUCUAAUGACCAAGUGCUCCCCUAGAAAUCAAAUUGCACUAUACUCCCUAUUCAAACAGGUGUACCUAGUACUCUGUUUAUUAUACUUAUAAAUGACAGACAGGGUGAGGGAAAGUUGACAAAUUCCCUUAGCCUUUCUUUAUGUUCUGGAUCAUGAAGUCUGGUACUUACUAACAGCAGGAUGGCACCAGAGAAAGAACCCAAGGUAAUGACCACCCUAGAUAAUGUAAUAUCAGAGUUUUACUUGCACACUCCCUGGGUACCGCUGAAAUAUCUUUUUAAACUGGGGUCAUUUGCCGAAGCCUGAUUAUGGUAAACAUGUAAACGUUAGGAUAUUUGAUCCCUACAUUGUUUUGUGUAACGUCUUUUUUGUCGACAACUUUAUUUUAUGAAGCUUUAGUUCUACUACAAAGUUUGGGAGGCCUGUGUUACGCCAACUAAACAGUGGGUUAGCGAGUUAACCCACCUCGCGAGCAGGGUUAGAUUUUACCUCCAAACUGACCCAGAGUUAGCGCUAACCAGCGUUUCGGGAACGGAACUAUCUGGGGGUAAAAA